UACGUAGGGGGCAAGCGUUGUCCGGAUUUAUUGGGCGGAAAGAGCGUGUAGGCGGCCAGAUAGGUCCGUUGUGAAAACUCGAGGCUCAACCUCGAGACGCCGAUGGAAACCAUCUGGCUAGAGUCCGGAAGAGGAGAGUGGAAUUCCUGGUGUAGCGGUGAAAUGCGCAGAUAUCAGGAAGAACACCCGUGGCUAAGGCGGCUCUCUAGUACGGUACUGACGCUGAGACGCGAAAGCGUGGGGAGCAAACAGG
rnacentral:rRNA from 1 species